UCAUUGCUGACAUUUCUGCAUGUGCUAUUUUGUUCUUCCUUGUCCUGUGUCCUUUCUACCUAUUGAAAUUGUAAACAUUUUCAAACUAAAAAUACACAUUUUUCUCCUUCUGUCAGAUUAUGGCACGCAUACUCUUGCUGAUCCGUUACAUGGCACUCUGCCAAACAAAACUGGUAAAAGGAAACGUAACAGAAAAUGAGUUUUGAGAAGCAGGUUCUGCCUUGUGUUGACUGAGGAAGGGAUUUAUCCAGGGCUACUGCAAAGGCAAGGGAAAGUAGGGAGAAGAAUCAAGCUGAUUUUCUACCGGUUCCUGAUGUAGAGGACAUCGUGAUGCUUGAUGACUCCUGUGCAGAUCCCAUGACCAUUUUCAGUUAUUUUGUAAGGCUGUGCUGUGUCAGGGGCCAGAUCUAGGAUGUGAAGAGCACAAGGGCAGAUUUCACCGUGAUUAUCAUUAUUUGUGUUUGUCAAGCGCAUCUAAAUCUUUCCAUUGUUCUAUCAUCUCUGGGAUGUGAAGAGAAAAUCUUAAAGCUUAACUCUUUGCUCAAAAUUAACUUUUUGUUGUGGAAUCUCCUCAGCACUGUUGAAGUUAUUAAUCCCUCCUUAAUCCCUAUCUAGACUUGCAAUUUUCCAUUUAGGACAACUUCAUGAAAAUAGCAGUCAUUUAAAAUGAAUGGAAAAAUAGAACAUAGCAGCUAUAGUGACUGUUUUUGUUUGUUUGUUUGUUUGUUUUCCCUAAAUCGUUAAAACAUAUUUAACCUUGAACUAGAACUUAUUGUAGAAAUCUUAGCUAAAUAAAAGUACUUGGUAAAGUCUGUCAUCCCCAGUGCUGAAUUAUUAUGUAUUGUGUGUUUAGUCAAUACCACAAACGCAGCUCUUGCGCCAUACUUGAGUACUAUUUUAGGAGAGAAAUUAU